AAAAAAGAGUUUUGAUUUUUUUUUUUUGGUAAUAAAUACACAGCGCUAACAUUAUGUCUCAUUGGUUAGCGCAUUCAAAUAAAAGUGUUCUUCCUAACAAGUGUACAAUGCAGGAAUACUAAAUUAUUACUUUUACAUUAUUUCACUUCGAAGCUAGCGAAGUGCUCCUGAUUAGAUCUCUCCAGCCCCACAUGACUCAAUAGGGUUGGCGGGAUACAAAUACGUACAAAAUACGCUUUAGUUGUAUAGAAGAUUUCCUAUAAUUCCAAGAUAUUGAAGAAUUCUCCGCGUUUACUAUUUAAUUGUUAAAUUUUCAUCUACACUUCAUCCAUUCCAAUACUUGUUAGUGCAAUGGUUACUCGAGCGAAGAUAUUAAGGUGAUCCUUAAACUAUUUUCGAUUAGAUCGAUCUUUCUUUUU
rnacentral:lncRNA from 1 species